ACCGGGUGAUCUAUCCAUGAGCAGGUUGAAGCAAGGGUAAAGCCUUGUGGAGGACCGAACCAGUUCUGGCUGAAAAGUGUUUGGAUGACUUGUGGAUAGGGGUGAAAGGCCAAUCAAACCCGGAGAUAGCUGGUUCUCCCCGAAAUGCAUUUAGGUGCAGCGUCGUGAGUUCAGUAUCGGAGGUAGAGCUACUGGAUGGUUUAGGGGGCCUACAAGCUUACCAACAUCAGCCAAACUCCGAAUGCCGAUACUCCAGAUCACGGCAGUGAGACUAUGGGGGCUAAGCUUCAUAGUCGAGAGGGAAACAGCCCAGAGCGCCAACUAAGGUCCCAAAUUUAUACUCAGUGGUAAACGAUGUGGGAAUGCCUAGACAGCCAGGAGGUUGGCUUAGAAGCAGCCAUCCUUGAAAGAGUGCGUAAUAGCUCACUGGUCGAGUGUUCCUGCGCGGACAAUGUAACGGGGCUCAAGUAUAAAACCGAAGUUGCGUCAUUAGGAUAAUUUAUUAUUACUGAUGGGUAGGGGAGCGUCGAGUUCGACUGUGAAGCCAGAUGAUAACGUCUGGUGGAGUGGACUCGAGUGAGAAUGCUGGCAUGAGUAGCGAACGAAGGGGGAGGAACCCUUCCUCCGAAUAUCCAAGGGUUCCUGGGCAAGGCUCAUCCGCCCAGGGUUAGUCGGGAGCUAAGGCGAGGCCGAAAGGCGUAGUCGAUGCACAACUGGUUGAUAUUCCAGUACCACCAUAUUCGCGCCCAGCCUAAGCUAAUUUGCUAAGUGGCUGUUAAUUUAUUAACGAAACGACCCAAUUAGUGCAUGGUAAUUGUAGGGGGACGCAGGAAGGUAGAUCUGACAGGUGAUGGUUAUCCUGGAAGUAAGUAAGUAGGGAGUGUGAUAGGAAAAUCCGUUGCACAUUAAUCCUGAGAUACGACACGUAGCCGAUUUAGGCGAUUUGAUUGAUCCUAUGCUGCCUAGAAAAGCCUAGCAAUGAGUUAAUAUGGUGCCCGUACCCCAAACCGACACAGGUAGAUAAGUAGAGAAUACUAAGGAGAGCGAGAUAACUCCGGUUAAGGAACUCGGCAAAAUGCCCCCGUAACUUCGGGAUAAGGGGGGCCUCAGUAAAGUGAUUGUCUUCGCGACAUGAGCUUGAGGAGGCCGCAGUGACUAGAGCCAAGCGACUGUUUACCAAAAACACAGGUGCAUGCGAAGCCGUAAGGCGAUGUAUAUGCACUGACGCCUGCCCAAUGCUGGAAGGUCACGGAGAGAGGUUAGCGCUUGUCGCGAAGCUUCGAACUUAAGCCCCAGUGAAUGGCGGCCGUAACUAUAACGGUCCUAAGGUAGCGAAAUUCCUUGUCGGGUAAGUU
rnacentral:rRNA from 1 species